GGACAUGCAAAUUUGUGAAGUGGUCCAUAUUUUUAAUUGGAAUGAUACAGAGAAGAUUAGUAUGGCCCCUGAGCAAAGUUGGACAGAUAUUACAGUCCCAGAACAUAUCC